GAUGAACGCUGGCGGCGUGCCUAAUACAUGCAAGUCGAGCGAACAGAUCAGGAGCUUGCUCCUUUGACGUUAGCGGCGGACGGGUGAGUAACACGUGGGUAACCUACCUAUCAGACUGGAAUAACUCCGGGAAACCGGGGCUAAUGCCGGAUAACAUUUAGAACCGCAUGGUUCUAAAGUGAAAGAUGGUUUUGCUAUCACUUAUAGAUGGACCCGCGCCGUAUUAGCUAGUUGGUAAGGUAACGGCUUACCAAGGCAACGAUACGUAGCCGACCUGAGAGCGUCAUCGGCCACACUGGAACUGAGACACGGCCCAGACUCCGACGGGAGGACGCAGUAGGGAAUCUUCCGCGAGGGGCGAAAGCCUGACGGAGCAAAGCGGCGUGAGUGAUGAAGGUCUUCGGAUCGUAAAACGAUGUUAGUAGGGAAGAAGAAAUGUGUAAGUAACUGGGCACGUCUUGACGGUACCUAAUCAGAAAGCUACGGCUAACUACGUG
rnacentral:rRNA from 1 species